AUUGAACGCUGGCGGCAGGCCUAACACAUGCAAGUCGAGCGGCAGCGGGAAAGUAGCUUGCUACUUUUGCCGGCGAGCGGCGGACGGGUGAGUAAUGCCUGGGAAAUUGCCCAGUCGUGGGGGAUAACAGUUGGAAACGACUGCUAAUACCGCAUACGCCCUACGGGGGAAAGCAGGGGACCUUCGGGCCUUGCGCGAGUGGAUAUGCCCAGGUGGGAUUAGCUAGUUGGUGAGGUAAUGGCUCACCAAGGCGACGAUCCCUAGCUGGUCUGGGGGGAUGAUCAGCCACACUGGAACUGAGACACGGUCCAGACUCCUACGGGAGGCAGCAGUGGGGAAUAUUGCACAAUGGGGGAAACCCUGAUGCAGCCAUGCCGCGUGUGUGAAGAAGGCCUUCGGGUUGUAAAGCACUUUCAGCGAGGAGGAAAGGUUGUUGGCUAAUAUCCAACAGCUGUGACGUUACUCGCAGAAGAAGCACCGGCUAACUCCGUGCCAGCCGCCGCAGUAAAAC
rnacentral:rRNA from 1 species